rnacentral:rRNA from 1 species
GAUGAACGCUGGCGGCGUGCUUAACACAUGCAAGUCGAACGGUGAAGCAGAGCUUGCUCUGUGGAUCAGUGGCGAACGGGUGAGUAACACGUGAGCAACCUGCCCCUGACUCUGGGAUAAGCGCUGGAAACGGCGUCUAAUACUGGAUAUGAGCUGCGACCGCCUGGUCAGCAGUUGGAAAGAUUUUUCGGUCUGGGAUGGGCUCACGGCCUAUCAGCUUGUUGGUGAGGUAAUGGCUCACCAAGGCGUCGACGGGUAGCCGGCCUGAGAGGGUGACCGGCCACACUGGGACUGAGACACGGCCCAGACUCCUACGGGAGGCAGCAGGGGGGAAUAUUGCACAAUGGGCGAAAGCCUGAUGCAGCAACGCCGCGUGAGGGAUGACGGCCUUCGGGUUGUAAACCUCUUUUAGCAGGGAAGAAGCGAAAGUGACGGUACCUGCAGAAAAAGCGCCGGCUAACUACGUG